rnacentral:rRNA from 1 species
AGAGUUUGAUCAUGGCUCAGAUUGAACGCUGGCGGCAGGCUUAACACAUGCAAGUCGAACGGUAACAGGAAGAAAGCUUGCUUUCUUUGCUGACGAGUGGCGGACGGGUGAGUAAUGCUUGGGAAUCUGGCUUAUGGAGGGGGAUAACUACGGGAAACUGUAGCUAAUACCGCGUAGUAUCGGAAGAUGAAAGUGUGGGACCGCAAGGCCACAUGCCAUAAGAUGAGCCCAAGUGGGAUUAGGUAGUUGGUUAGGUAAAGGCUGACCAAGCCGACGAUCUCUAGCUGGUCUGAGAGGAUGACCAGCCACACUGGAACUGAGACACGGUCCAGACUCCUACGGGAGGCAGCAGUGGGGAAUAUUGCACAAUGGGGGGAACCCUGAUGCAGCCAUGCCGCGUGAAUGAAGAAGGCCUUCGGGUUGUAAAGUUCUUUCGGUGAUGAGGAAGGUGUUUGUUUUAAUAGAACAAACAAUUGACGUUAGUCACAGAAGAAGCACCGGCUAACUCCGUGCCAGCAGCCGCGGUAAUACGGAGGGUGCGAGCGUUAAUCGGAAUAACUGGGCGUAAAGGGCACGCAGGCGGUGACUUAAGUGAGAUGUGAAAGCCCCGAGCUUAACUUGGGAAUUGCAUUUCAUACUGGGUCGCUAGAGUACUUUAGGGAGGGGUAGAAUUCCACGUGUAGCGGUGAAAUGCGUAGAGAUGUGGAGGAAUACCGAAGGCGAAGGCAGCCCCUUGGGAAUGUACUGACGCUCAUGUGCGAAAGCGUGGGGAGCAAACAGGAUUAGAUACCCUGGUAGUCCACGCUAUAAACGCUGUCUGAUUUGGGGAUUGGGCUUUGAGCUUGGUGCCUCGUAGCUACACGUGAUAAAUCGACCG